GAAACGAUUAAGAGGACUGCUCUCUGGAAAAAGCUUGCGACUUUUUGUCAGGUGUUAGAAUUUUUUAUCAGUCUUAACUAAAUACAGGGCCACAGACUCAACUGAAAGUGAUUGGGGCUAACACAAUUAAUAAACACAAUUCUAAGGUGUUUGACUUUGCAAGGAAAUGGUAGGGGGGCAUUUUUAAAGGUGAAAUUACAUAAAAUAUAAAAAAUUUGUUGCACAAGAUUCGAUAAACCAACUUCCUCUAGUUAAUGUUUUUAAAUCGUUCGUUGAAAAUCCGAGUCAUGAUCUUUCAGUUAUUACAACAGUUGACAUAUCCAGUAAAAAUGCUAUUUCGUUCUGUUUUUCCUUCUGAAGUGAUGAAGAAGCAAAGGUGUUGAAAACUAUAAUGAAGUGAGCAAACUUUUGAUAAUGAUAAAGUGCAUCUAGAAACUACGAUCCCAGAUAGAAGAAGAGGGUUAGAAAAAUCUUUGAAUCUUUAUUUUUCAUUUGGAAAAAUGAAAAAUGAAAGUAAGUCAGACGUUGUGAUUAUUUCUUUGAUUUUACUUAGAUACUUAACGUUUAAUGUUAUUUGUUUUAUUCAAAUACCCAAAGGAAUUGUCGCAAGAUUUUUCUUCAGUAGCCGCUUGCCUGCCAUUGUAGACGUAACGUCCCAAAGGACGAAUGCGGCAGUGUCCCAGGACACUAGUGCCAGGACAAGAAGGCGUGUGAUUAUGGGGAAUUUGAACCAUGAUCCUCUGGUUGUUCGGUCUUUGCUUCUUGGGCUUCGAUAGAGAAAGGAUCCCCCUUGCCACGCUUUAAAGGUUCAAGCAAACCAUAUAUCGAUAAUGGCAGACAACAGUUGACAAAGCUGCAGUGAAAUUCACAGGCUUCUUGGCCUUGAAUAUAAAGCAGUUUUCGACCUCUGUAAGAAUGGCUUUUGGAAUUCAAAGUUUAAAAUCCCACUGCUUAAAAUAAAACGAUCAAAUGGAGCUCACUAAUGGUUAUACUCUUAUUAAAAAAUGAGGUUAAAAACGUAUGGAUAUGGGGCAAGGAGACUUCAACCAAGUGAACCUCUUUCGAAGGUAAGUCUUGAUAAAAUUAUUGCUAAGCAUUCUGUUCUUUGUUUCGGCUGUAAUUUUUCUGCAUAACUGACACUAUUUUUCUUUUUGCAGGUUUGGCGUUUUCAUCUCAAAGAUUUUUUGAAACAUUUUUAUUUGGAAAUUUUUUUAGUGAAAAUAAUUGUUUUGCUUCUAAGCUAAACUUUUUUCAGAAGGUUGGCUAUGUUGUAAAAUGGAUCAGUUGUUUCUGAAGAACAUCACUUCUAACUUCACAAUCAAACACAAAUGACACAUUGACACCUCGUGAGGGACAUUGAUGACAGAUUUUUGACUAAGAUACAACGGUGAGUUCUGCUAGAUACCUUCCGGUGAUCAUUUUCGGCUCUAUUUACCCCCUCUUUAUCCCAAUUAUCCUUAUUAACAAGUUAUUUAUUGAAGAAACAAACAAAAUACAAAGAAAGGAGAAAACAUGCAUGGUGCUGUAACUUUAAAACAAUUUUUUUAAGAAAUUGAGACAUUUCACGACCAGUCUAUGUUUAUCAACAGUUUUACGGUUAUGUGCAUAAUUUCAUAAUAUCCAAAAUUUCCUUAUUUUUAAGCUUUCUUUCAUUCUGGAUAUUAAACCUGUUAUUUUUCUUUUUCAGGUACGAUUUUUUUGGAGCUUUUCAUUGAUGUCUUGGAUGUUUUUUCUUUUUAUGCCCAAGUUUUCGGUUUUUCUGGUCCUUUUUUCAUCAAGAUUUCUAAUGAAUUUAUUGCAGCUUUUUUGUAGAAACGAUGAAAGCUGAAACUCAAGAUUUAAGAUCUUAAGAAGUCGCGAUUCCUAUUCAAGAUUCCCACUGGAACUUUAAUGACCUCAAAACUGGAUUGCAGUUACUAAGCUGGAUUGCGGUUACAGCACUAAAUCUAUGGUGAGCACAUUUCAUUUUGCAUGUUUAUCAAAUUUCAUAUUUUGUAUUAUAAUGAUCAUUUAAAUGUUAUGAGGAAUUUUGAAAUAAUAUGUUUAACUUAAUAUGAAUCCUCAACGAGGUACAUUCUAGGCAAGUGCUGUAGGAUAAUUCAGUGCUCGUGUACGAUAAUUUAGCCCAAUAAGUUGUUUCAGUUUACGAAUAUUUGCCUGGUCUUUCAUUCGAUGAUAUGAAUUUUCGUAUUGAGUCAUACAAUCCAAUAAUAUAGGACGGUAUUUCCUUAGAAAUCGAGCUGACAUUCUAGUAAGGUGUGGAGAAGACACAAUUCUGCCAGUAUUCUCUAACCUCUGACUUAUU